UAGGUGGUUAGUCUAAGAAAAACAUUUGAUUUCGGCUCAAAAACUUGUGGUUUAAAUCCACAGCCGCUUAA
rnacentral:tRNA from 1 species